AAACGAUGUCGAUUUGGAGUUUGUUGCCUAGAGUGAUGGGCUCCGAAGCUAACGCGAUAAAUCGACCGCCUGGGGAGUACGGCCGCAAGGUUAAAACUCAAAUGAAUUGACGGGGGCCCGCACAAGCGGUGGAGCAUGUGGUUUAAUUCGAUGCAACGCGAAGAACCUUACCUGGUCUUGACAUCCAUAGAAUUCUGCAGAGAUGUGGGAGUGCCUUCGGGAACUAUGAGACAGGUGCUGCAUGGCUGUCGUCAGCUCGUGUUGUGAAAUGUUGGGUUAAGUCCCGCAACGAGCGCAACCCUUAUUCUUUGUUGCCAGCGAUUUGGUCGGGAACUCAAAGGAGACUGCCGUUGAUAAAGCGGAGGAAGGUGGGGACGACGUCAAGUCAUCAUGGCCCUUACGACCAGGGCUACACACGUGCUACAAUGGCGUAUACAAGGGAAGCGAAGGUGCGAGCUGGAGCGGAUCUCAUAAAGUACGUCUAAGUUCGGAUUGGAGUCUGCAACUCGACUCCAUGAAGUCGGAAUCGCUAGUAAUCGUAGAUCAGAAUGCUACGGUGAAUACGUUCCCGGGCCUUGUACACACCGCCCGUCACACCAUGGGAGUGGGUUGCACCAGAAGUAGAUAGCUUAACCGCGAGGGGGGCGUUUACCACGGUGUGAUUCAUGACUGGGGUGAAGUCGUAACAAGGUAACCA
rnacentral:rRNA from 1 species